AUGGCCCUGCUCCUUCUCUGGCACAUGCGCAACGGAGGCUGUUUGUGGCGCCUGGGGCCUUCUUUUCAUUCUUCUUUGAAACCUUCAGGAUUUGUGGCAGGCGGAAGCUGGGAUGCGGUAGGGAGUCUGAAGGGUGCUGCAGUGGCCAAAUGUCCCUCUCUUCUGAUGCCUCCACACUGUCUCAGUGGUAAAGUCCAGGCUUUUCCACAAGCGGACCAGAGCUCCAGCCCAACCUUCCUGCCUCCUCCUCCCUCUUCACAUUCCCCUCCGGGUCCCUCUGCUCAAAUCCACUGGACUCUGUUCUCGAGACGCUAUGGAUACUCCAUCGGGUUUCACACCCCCGGGCCUUCGCCUCUGCUGUUCUCACCCUCUGGAAUGAUCUUCCUGGGUGCUAUGCCUGGUGAUCUCCUGAAGUCAAGGUCUGGCAAGACCUCUGCUCUGGGAAGCCUCUUCUGGGCUCUCCUGAUAGUCAGGGGGACCCUCCUCUGUGCACACCUUCAGAGCCCCCCUCGAGAGGAGGGUUGCAGUAUCCAUCGACUCAUCUGGAAGAGCAGACUGUUUUGUUUUCGAUGGACGCCGAAUCCCCAGGACAUAGCAUAGUAGUCCUUCAAUACACGUGUUGGAAGGAUGAAUGAACGAGUGCCCACUAACCUCCGAGACCCUCGUGGAUGUGGCCGGUGCGUCACUCACCUCGCUGUGGUUCCCAUUGGCUGCCAGUUCGCACGUGCCACCCUUGCCCACUGGGAGGCAACAGCGAGGUGCCAAAGAGAUCCUGCAGGGCUGCCCCGGCCAGAACCGCCCACUAGGCCCUAUCUCUCAAGGCCUUGCCCUGCCUGGGAUCUUGGUUUGGGACAAGCCCUUCUGGGAAGGGCACCCUCCAGUGGGAAACCAGCGCUGCUCCACUGCCAGUCCCAGAGCUGACAUCUCCCAGAGCUGGGCCCAACAUUGAUCCUUUUCCCAGAGGCACACUGAUCUGACCUCAGUGUCAUAAACCCAACCCCACUGUAUGCCUUCCUGAGCUUCUAGAAUCAUCCCCCAAGUCCCACAAGCCCCAGCAGCCCAUUUCUUCAGCGCUGGGCAGCAGAGACCAGUAGGGUAUCUGUAUCUUUAAGAAAAAGCAAGCGUAAUAAAUAAAAGUUAUCUGGGAAAGAAAACUUCCUUUGUUGAUUUUCCAGAAGCUUUAGCCCAUCAAUCUUCCCCUCCUAACCUGCUUUGUGCUCGGCUAGUUUUGCUUCCUAUAGAAUGGAAUUUGGUUUUCUAGUAGCAUCUGUCAUAUGCAGGGUGUCCCCAAACAGUAGCAAUAAUGAGUUGAAAGUGGCACAGUUGGAAGCCUUCAGAAACCAUCGCCAGAUGUCAGGCCCUCAGUGGGCCCCUCUAAGGACACUGGGGCCAGAGCACAGGGCAAGGGUUGGGUCGGGCCCACAACUCUGGAAGGUCCCUGGGAGUCAUUCAUCUGACAGACACUGAGGAGUGCUCACCAUGUGCCACGCCCUGCAUGGGCACUGGGAAGCCCUCACCUGGCGCUGCCAUGGCUGGCUACCAAAGAACAGAAUGGGCAGUGGAGGCAGGACCCCACCCCCAACUCAGUUGACUGGGCCAUCCCCUGGGAAGCCCGGGAGGCAGGAUGGCAGAUUUGGACCCAGGUAGACCUGGGUGCCAGAGCUCAGGCUUCUUCAUUUGAAAACCAGGCAAGCAGCCUCUGCCUCACAAGGCGGCUUGAGAACAGUGAGAGUGUAAAUUACCCCGCCCCAAGUCCAGCACAUGGGCGGAGCUCAGCAUCCUUUGGAUCCCUCAGGCCUAACAAGUGCCCCUGCGCUGGGGGGCUGGUGGGGCUCCGCAAAGGCAGGCACUGCUCACCUCUGGGCUCAGAGUUCUUGCCUAGAGGCUUCUGUAGCUGCCACCCUUGCCUGAGAAAAUGCAGGUAGAGCCACCCCGUGGCAACUGGGGGCUUUGAAAGAAUGGAAGAGAGCCCCAAGGAACCAAGGCUCCUGGGGAUUGACAGGCAUUAAAAUAUGUCCUCAACUCCACCCACCUCUAUUUCCAAGGCUCUCCUCCAAGCAUGCCACGUGCUGUUCUCCAGAAAAGCCAGGGCCUCUGGUAGCUCCAGCUGCUGAGGGGCUACAGCCUCGCCUUCCCCUCACCAGGCCAGAGCCCGGAGGGUGGGGGUCGGGGAGCUCUUUUACCUCCUUGCUGGAGAUGAGGAAAUUUGGGCCCAGGGAAGUGCAGGUUCAGAGCAGCACCUGCUGUGCCUGGAGCAAGGCCAAUCCCCAUAACCCAUGCAUCUGCGGAGGUGGCCCCCCAACUGCACAUGAGGGGAACACGGGCUGGGCUUGCUUUUUAAUUUGUCUUACUCUAGAUGACAGAGGAACUUUUAGAAAACUUGUGGGAUAAGGAUGGACGGAUGCCCCUCAGCAGUCUCUGGCCUCGUACACGGCUGCCAGCAGAGGUGGACACGAGGCCUCAGUGGCCCUCGACGCCCCUUCUCCAGGAGAGCACAGGGUGUGUGACUUCUCCCCAGCCUCUGGCCCCAGUCCCUUCUUUGUCCCAGUCCCCAUCCUGCAAUCGCUCUCCGGGUUGGGCCAGGCAAGUGGGCCGCAGAGGCCUGGCUUAGCUUUGGGAACGGAAGCAUAGGAAGGGGCGCGGAGAGGCAGGAAGCGGCCUGGGGAGGCUGGGGUGGUCGCGACUACAGACCCUACCGCAUAGACGCGCUCAGCCCCUCUGGGCGCUCCGGUGUAGCCAACCCGCUCCUAAGUGCGACCGUGCCGCGAAGCCGGGACCCAGCGACCCCCGCACGGCUCCUUGCCACUGCCCCGUCUCUGCCCCUGGCUGCUCCUGCCCCUCGGCCCUGCCUCCUUGCU
rnacentral:lncRNA from 1 species